GAUGAACGCUGGCGGCGUGCCUAAUACAUGCAAGUCGAGCGAACAGACGAGGAGCUUGCUCCUCUGACGUUAGCGGCGGACGGGUGAGUAACACGUGGAUAACCUACCUAUAAGACUGGGAUAACUUCGGGAAACCGGAGCUAAUACCGGAUAAUAUAUUGAGCCGCAUGGUUCAAUAGUGAAAGACGGUUUUGCUGUCACUUAUAGAUGGAUCCGCGCCGCAUUAGCUAGUUGGUAAGGUAACGGCUUACCAAGGCAACGAUGCGUAGCCGACCUGAGAGGGUGAUCGGCCACACGGGAACUGAGACACGGUCCAGACUCCUACGGGAGGCAGCAGUAGGGAAUCUUCCGCAAUGGGCGAAAGCCUGACGGAGCAACGCCGCGUGAGUGAUGAAGGUCUUCGGAUCGUAAAACUCUGUUAUUAGGGAAGAACAAAUGUGUAAGUAACUAUGCACGUCUUGACGGUACCUAAUCAGAAAGCCACGGCUAACUACGUG
rnacentral:rRNA from 1 species